AUCUAUGGCUAUACCACCCUGAAUAUAUCAGAUAUAGACAGAUGUCUGAUUUCUAAAGCUAAUCUGUGUGGAGUCUGGUUAGUAUUUGCAUGGGAGACUGCUUGGGAAUACUAGGUGUUGUAGACU
rnacentral:rRNA from 1 species